UAAUGUUGGAACAUUUACAGU
rnacentral:piRNA from 1 species